GCUCUGCAUCGCCGGGACGAGAUUCGCGAUGAGCAUUUUGUUGGCGGUGGACAAGACUUCGUUGCCGACUAGAAUGCGUAUGAUGUCAGUGGCAGGUACGUAGGGUUGGACGUUGAAUUUGAUCCAUUCUUCUGCGAAAUUUGGCUUUACUAAGCGGGGGAUUUGAUCAUUGGGGACUGUGAUGGUUACUGAGAUGCGUGUAUGAGCGAAAGCUCUUAAGAUGUCCGGAUUGGCAUCGAACAGUCUGAUGCGGUCGAUAAUGGUGGAAUCCAAGAGGAAUUCCGCAACCUUAGACGGCAGAGGGAGAUUGUCAGCCAACGUUCCAUAAUUGACUCCGAUGGAUCCACCUUUAGCUGAUGAACAAAUGAAAAGGGAGAAGAAGAAGAAGCAAAGUCGCAGCAAUUGAAGUGUAAGCACGAAGAAGGCGCGAGAGAGCGAAAGAGGAAGCCAUUGGUGAAGAAAGCGAGAAGAGUGAAUUGAGGGUGGCAUUGGCCAUUGCUGAAGAAGUAACAUUUUGAUGCUUUGCUUUGCGAUUGGGGAGAAUCGUAUGUUCUUGGUAAUACCCUUCAAGCUUGUUCUUCUUAGAGAGCUUUAUUUGCUUUUGAAUCUGUUCUCUAUUAAUUUCUCUUUUUUUUUUCCUUCCCCUUUUAGUAAUAAAUGACAAAAUCUAUGCUUGUUUUGAUGUGUUCAAGUAUAAUUAAUAUUAGGGUUUUCUUUAAAAA